GCCUCCAUGUGGUAUGGGCGGGUCAGCCAGCACGCAGGUCUGGGCGGCGCUUAGUGACGUCAGCAUAUCCCUGCCUGGGUAUGAGCCGACCUGGUCCAAUUCAGUUUUCCCUCUGUCGCCUAGGUGAGUGGACGAGGUUCCUUGUGCGCCGACAAUGCCUAGCACGUGCGCUGUGUUGUGGUGUUCAAAUGAUAGACGCAAAACGCAGGGAACUGGAAUACGCUACUUUUAUUUUCCAAAAGAUAACGAGCGGCAAAAACAAUGGAUUCGUGCUUGUGAUAGACCGGACGAUUUAAAUGUGAAAAGUUGUCUUGUGUGCUCUAAGCAUUUUAGAGAAGAGGAUUACAGUAUGCAGUACAAGUUACUUGGCCAUUAUCAGGGCCCAAGACACCGCACGCUGCUGAAGGAGACGGCCGUUCCAUCACUUUUUCUUUCUCCAGCAGACGAACCUGAUGAAGCUCUCUCCAGUGCAGAUGACCCAACUGAAGUUUCAGAACUUGGUGAAAAUGAAGGAUCAGGCAGCUUCUUGCAUGAAGACAGCUCUCUCUUAGAAGACGAGCCUGCUGAAGUCCUUGCCGGUGCAAGAGAUGCAGGAUCAGGCAGCUUCUUGCAUGAAGACAUCUCUCU